UAGAUGUAACCUCUCCACAGGAGACUGUGAAGUUCUGUCCUCCGUCCUCAAAUCUCCAUCAUGUCGUCUGAAAUAUUUGGACCUGGGUGAGAACGACCUGCAGGAUUCAGGAGUGAAGCUGUUGUCUGAGGGGCUGCAGAGUCCAGAAUGUAAACUGGAGAUUCUUGGGCUGAGGCUGUGUAACCUCUCCUCAGGAAGCUGUGAAGCUCUGUCCUCCGUCCUCAAAUCUCCAUCAUGUCUGAAAGAGUUGUACCUGGGUGAUAACGUCCUGCAGGAUUCAGGAGUGAAGCUGUUGUCUGAGGGGCUGCAGAGUCCAGACUGUAAACUGGAGACUCUUAGGUAAGGAAACAGAAAACUUCAGUUGUGUUUGUGAGUGUUGUUGGUGCUCAUGUUCUCCAUCACUAGAACUUCAUUUCCUGCUUCUUGAGUCUGUGACAUCUCUGUGUCUCCAUGCUGUGAACUAUUCUUUAAUCAGCUCUCUAACACAGAGCUGACAGUACUGUGUGAAGCACGUCGUCUCCAGAUUCUUCAUCCUUCACUUCCUGCUAUGAAGAAUGUGGAGUUCUCUUCCUGUUCAAAGGAUUUAGCAGUUGGAAAAUGAUGUCCACACAUGGAAAGAAGUGACAGGAAGAAAACUCCAUCAAUGUGGAGCUUUCAGUCAAGUUGCUGUUUGUUCUUCACAUUCUAAUUCAUCUUUUCUGAAUUCAUUUCCUGCUUUAACACAAGAUCAUAGAAAACACAUUCAAACUAAAACUACAUGUUAAAAAAAGUUUUAUUUUACUUUUAUAACAAAAAUCAUCUUUAUAGAAAGUAUUCCAACAUAAAUGAAUCUCAGGGUGUGAUGCAACUGGAAAAUUCGUUAGGUUUGGUACGAGUCCACCAACUUGUUUCAGAUUGAGUCCUGAAAAUUGUGUUUUGUCUGUAUUCAGACUGGCGCUGUGGAAAAUCCUGUUUCGGACCAAAGUUUGUAAACAAAACCAUGUGACUGAGUAUCUCUUCUGUGAUUGACCAGGAAGUACGAGGCAGGUCAAAAAAACAAGAGAAGGUUGGAGGAGCAGCACUUUAAAGUCCUCAUCAAGAUGGUUUAUUUAUCAAAACUUUAUAUUUUGAUUACCAGUUUUGAAUGUCAGGAACAACAAUUUUUACUUGUUAGUUUGAUACGAUGGAGAUUUGCUGCAAGACGGUUACUGGCAAGUAGGGAUGUCCCGAUCCGAUCACGUGAUCGGAAAUUGGCUGUCACAUCCCGAUCAGCGGCCCGAUAUUUUGCUUUCAUCAUACUAAAAAAGUGCUAUAUUUUAAGAAUGCAACUUUAUAAAAUUCUUCCGGUUUGAAGUCUAUGACCAAAGACGACCAUUUAAGAGUGGUCACGUGACCAUAGACGUACAUGUCAUGACGUUUUACUGAUGUAAAAUGCUUCGGAAUACGGCAAUAACAGUUCGAAGGGAUAGAAUGUGCAAAAAAGAUGUCGGCUGUAUGGACUUUUUUCACCAUUGACGAAAAUGCAAUUGCAAACUGCAACACGUGCAAGAUUAAAGUUUCGAGAGGGGGUAAGGAAAAGGCUGCUUUUAACACGACAAAUCUGAUCAGACAUCUAAAAAACAAACGUCCGCAACGUUACACGGAGUUCGCUAAGUCAUCACAGCCACCCAGAACAACACAGCCUACGCUACUUCAAACACCCAGAAAAAAGAGAAAAUGCCGCACGAUGGUGAGAAGGCUCUAGCCGAAAUCUCCAAGAUUUCCCAGAUGAUUGCGAUAAGUGACCAACCAUUCGCCUUCUUAGACAACCCGGGGCUCAUCAUGUUACUGGACUUCUUGGAGCCCCGUUUUGAGAUGCCGUCUCAUCACUAUUUCACGAAGAAAGGUCUGCCAGCGGUCCAAAAGAAAGUUAAGGACAAACCUCUGGGCUUGCUAAAGGACGUGCCUUUUAUUUCGUUUACCACAGACAUUUGGAGUUCGUCUGUUGCUCCAAUGUUGCUGUUAAGCCUCACCGCUCAGUGGGUGGAUUCUGCUUUUGUUUUGCGCCAUGCGACCCUGCACGCACAGGAGUUUCGAGGAUCCCACACAGCUGAACGAAUCAAAGAGGCUGUGGAGAAAAUGCUCACGAACUGGGGUAUUGACAAACAACGAGUCCACGUCAUUUUGCGGGACAAUGCAGCGAACAUGAAAAGAGCCAUGAGUGAGAUGGGAGUACGGAGUGCAGGUUGUGUCGCGGACUUAUGCCAACUUUGCGUGCACGAAGGUGUACUUGCUCAACGUAGCGUCACAGACACCCUGGCCAUUGCGAGGAAGAUAGUGGGUCACUUUAAACAUUCCCCUCUGGCAUACUCACAGCUUGAAGACAUCCAGACAGAGUUAAACAUGGAUAUUAAGCGCCUGCAACAAGAUGUCCAGACUAGAUGGAACAGUAGCCUCUACAUGCUACAGAGCCUAAUGGAACAAAAAUGACCUCUCAGCGUUUAUUCCACUGAACGCACACUACCAGCUGUUCUGACAGCUUACCAGUGGGAUCUGAUGAAGAAAGUUGCAGAUGUGCUCUCCUCCUUUGAGGAGCUCACAAGGGAGGUGAGCAGAGAGGACGCAACUGUAGCGGAUGUGAUCCCUGCCAUAACAGUCCUCAGACGUAUUUUAACUGGUGAUGAGGAAGAUGACCAGGGAAUUAAAAGCAUGAAGAAAAACCUCUUGGAGGCAGUGGAGAAGCGCUUUGCUAGCAGUGAAACUGAGCCCCUCUUCUACAUUGCCACUUUACUUGAUCCCAGAUACAAAGAUUGCUUUUUAACAAAGUCAGCUAACCUGACCCUGGCAAAGGAACAUCUCAUCCAGGAGCUGGUGAACAAAGAGGAAAAAGCCAGGGCUGUUGUUUCAGAGCUGCCGGCCCUGACACUAAAGCACCAUGGGUUGAGGCAUGCAGCACCUUGGACAGUGGAUUUCAGGAGAUCUUGAAGAAAGACAAUCUGUGUCCCGGUCCGUGAGUAGUUCGUCAACAGAAGUGGAGGUCUGCGCAUACCUCUCUGAGCAAACCAUCCCUAAAAGAGAUGACCCACUUCGCUAUUGGAAAGAAUGUGCUCUUCAGUUCCCUUCCAUGGCUGCACUUGCAGCCCAGUAUCUCUCUGCCCCUUGCAGCUCUGUACAGAGUGAAAGGCUCUUCAGUUCUGUUUCCAAUAUUCUUGAUGAGAAUCGGAACAGGCUCAAAUCAGAAAAUGUUGAAAUGUUGGUUUUCAUUAAAAAAAACAUAAAGUGUAUCCUUUAAGCCACAAAGGGCUUUGCUUUAUGACACUGUUGCACUUUUUGCUAAUUUGUUUACAUGCCAAAUUGGCAAUUUAAGUUCAGCUGCUUUAAUAUAAUUUAAAUUUAUGUUGCAUGUCUUAUCCAUUUUCAGUAUUUUCACUAGUUAAUGGUGAACAGUUUUUGUUGAAAUGUUAAUACUUGAUUGUUCAUACAAGAUACUCAACAGAAGUUUUCUGUUAUAAUGUUGCACUAUUGCUUGAGUGUUCAAGCUACCUCUAAGAGAAAUACACUGCUUUAAUGUUAAAUAACAAAAUAAAGGUGUAUAAAAUUAAACUGAACAA